AAUCUAUAUCAGAAUCCACACCUGUGAAUUAUUUGGUUGGCCCCUCGAAAGGGUUUCAUACGUCAGCUUGUACGAAAAAAGAUGCACGCGCCGCUAUCAUAAUUAUUAAUAUGCUGUGUGUGCUGUGUCUCUUUUCUCUACAAGCCGUCGUCUUUCGAGGUGAUAUGGUUGAAUGGCGUGUUGUGUAAAUGGCGACAUCCACAAACCUCAUUCAAAAGCAUAUCAGGCAUAUCUGUGGCCCCUCUGUGCUCUGCUAUAUAUGUAUGUAUGUAUAUAGUAYAACGCUCUUCUUGUACURUAUACGUACAUACACACAGCACACAGCAGAGGGUGUACAGCAAUGCUGGCCCUUUUCUUCUUUUUUCCARCCAACCAACCAACAACCAAACCAACUGUCAAAUUACUGCAAAAGGAGGGAUCAGCUCAGAGCUGUGUCCCUCAUGAACCAAGACAACUCUCAACAACGGAUAUCUUGGCUCUCAGAUCGAUGAAGAACGCAGCGAAAUGCGAUACGUAGUGUGAAUUGCAGAAAUACGUGAAUCAUCGAAUCUUUGAACGCAAAUUGCGCUCCAGGCUUCGGCCAAGAGCAUGUCUGCCUCAGCGUCGGGUUAAAUCUCAGUGCCGUACAUGCAUCUGUGUGUACGGCAUUGGAUCUGGUUUCCUCGGCACAUACAAAUCCUUUGUUUAUGUUUGAAUUAUAGUAAUAAUAAUAAUUCGAACACCUAACUCUGUGAGAUAUGCCGGGUGAACCGAAGUAUACAGAUGCUGGAUCGUGGACCGUUGAUAUUUAUAUAUCGGGCCUCUACUGGGUAGGCAAAAUCAACCUGUAGCAGUGGUCUAUACUAUACUAUGCUCUACUACUGUGUUGUUUGCUGCAAAAUGCUUUAGUAGAUGGCUUUGGGGUACCUGUGUUUGGCAAAAAAGCAGGAGUGUACGUGGCUACAAUACGUAUCUGCUCUGCACUUGAGUGUGUGCUGUACUACAACUUAAACGUGUGCAGUACACACCAUGUGUGGUGUGCAUGUGUUGUCGUCGUACAUCAUUAUAUAUAUAUAUAAUUAUUUUCUCGACCUGAGCUCAGGCAAGA
rnacentral:sRNA from 1 species